GGGUCAGUAGGUUGGUCGUGCCACCGGUACGUACUGGUCUCACUGAUUCCUCCUUCCUGAAGAACCGUAGUGCCAUUAAUUUGGUGUUGCGGGGAAACAGGACUGUUACUUUGAAAAAAUUAGAGUGUUUAAAGCAAGCUAACGCUUGAAUACAUUAGCACGGAAUAAUGAAAUAGGACGAUCGAUCCUAUUUUGUUGGUUUCUAGGAUUGACGUA
rnacentral:rRNA from 1 species